UUCAGAGGAGACUUGUUAAAAUUAGGGCCAUGAAGCAUUUGAAGGAACUGUGCUUCAGUAUAGUUUUCACAAACAAGGAGAAACUUCAUCCUCUGGCACAUCAGCAUCACAUUGUCAUAAGUAUAAAGACUUAAAAAAAAGAAUACAUGAGAAACACGUCUUUUCCACGGGGAAAAAAAAACUGGUGUACUUGAAGGAAAUCGCUGCUUUUGUGGAGGCAGAAAUGGAUAUGCUGCGGAUAUAUCUGUCCAUGCAGGCGUGUAUAUCCGUGAAUGACAUUGAGCUUUAGUUUAUGAUAUGAAUCCAUGUGCCAUAAUAAGGUGUUGGUGUCUCUGCAGGUGUAGGCUACUGCCGGUGUCAGAGACGUGGUGCUCGUUGGAGCUCGACUCCCUCUGGAUCACAAAUGUUGAUCAUCAUCAGUUUGAUUGUUUCUUCAGAAACCACAAAAUCUCUCUGAAUGACCCGCUGAUACAUCCACAGAUAACCCUGCAGAUGACCAGCUUCAGUCGUUUCCCCCUCCACAAAAGCAGUUUUAUGACUUUAUAAACUUUAUGAGUUUAUUCUCCUAAAUUUACAACUUUAAUCUCUAAAUCUUAAAAGAAAAAAAAAACUCAAUGAUGUCCUGAUCCUUUGCUGUAGUUUUGUCAGCUUUCUUAUUUCUAAUGUUUUUGAUAGUUGAAGCUGAGCAGAUCAGUUGUCUCUAAAUCUAUAAUGUUUGGUUUGCAGAUUUUAGUGAGUUCAGAGAUCAUGCGCUCAUACAGCCUGAGCUGACUGUCUGCUGUCUUUUGGAUUUCUUGCAUUUUUUUAAAGACGCGCUGUGCCUCCAAGCGAGUCCAGCCUCUCACCUGAAAUGCGCAGCUGUGCAGCGGCACGCAAAGCAUUCUGGGAUACAGACGGCAUGAAAGCGUGCAUAAAUACACGCUUGAAAAAGUGCCAAGCGCGCUUAGCAUUUCUUAGCAUCUCGUGCCAAAUGGGACACCGUUCGCGCCGUCAUGACCUCAUGCACGCUUCAAAUGCACCGUAGUAUGCUCCGAAAUGGCAAACUACUCCUACUACUCAUACUAACCUCGCCUCUGAAUUGAGUAGGCAGUGCAUUCACACUGUACAGUAUGCGAAUUCUGUGAAUGCGAGAAAUGCCCAGAUGUAUACUCAAUCAGCUUCGAAUUUUGAGUGUGGAACGGUGCUUGCUUCACGUACUGCUUCUGCCCCACAAUGCAUUGCGCACCUCAGCUGGUAAUAUGGCCCUCUUUCCCGAGGCUGAAAAGAAAUAGAUGGCAUGUGUUUGCAAUAAUAAUUAUAUAUAUAUAAAUAGAUAAACAAUAUUUAGUCAGUAUACAUUACACAAUUUUUAUCAUUUUAUCAUAUUUUGAUCUUUUUACCAGAUUUAUUUGUAUUUUAAAUUAGGAUUAUAGGUAAUGUUUUUAACUAUUCGUAUGAAUUGACUUUAUUUUUUUAAGUGUCUAUUAAAGAUGUAUUUAUUACAUCAAGUUUGAGAGUCUUCUCAUCUCUGAAUGCAUCAUCAAAGUGGUCACUCAUAUUAAGCUCAGACCUCUGAUUAAUAAAAAUUAUUAUUGGUAGAGAGCACAUGGUUCAGAAGAUACAAACGGGGGGAGUUUCCAGUUGACAAUGUAUGUGGGCUUUACUAAUUCUUACUUGUGGUUGAAAAUCUGAUGGUUUCUGAAAUUAUCAUUGUGCAUGAAAAGAAUGUAGUCGGGAAAUGAUGUAUUUGCCAAGGAAUAAACGAACGAGGUCAUAAUAAUUAUGUUGUGUGUUGGUCAUUUUGCAGCCCUCUGCUGCUCAUCACAUACCUAGCUUGUGGUGUAUAGCAUUAUCACCAUGGAUACACAGAUGUUUGUGUGAUUUUUUUUCAUCCACUGCCGCCCGGUUUGUGUCAUGUCGAUGGUGAUUAUGAAAACACUUCGCAAUAAUUUGAAAACGUGAAGGGGGAGCUGCUGCUGCCCAGUGUUUACGGUAAAUAGACACAAUCACCCACCAAGCGGACGCUUCGGUCUUCGAAAACGCUGAGACAAAUUUACAAACAGCCACUAUUUCAAACAACUGGGCUCAUAAUCAUAAUGUAAACACUUACUUUCUUGCUAGAAAAAAUAUUAUUAUUGAAUGAAUUUAUAUAAUUUGUCCGGAAUGCAGUCGUUCUGUGUAGCUUGUGGUACAGCGCUGCGUCUGGCCGGCAGGAAAUGCAUUCUGGGGUAUUUAGUAUGAAUCUGUAUGUAAACGCUCUGGCAGCCGCGGCAUACUCAAAUCAUCUUUGAGUAGUCAAUAUGCAGUAGGUACUGCUUGAGUAGGUAAGUAGAUAGUAGGCAGUAUGCCAUUUCGGACACAGCCUCAGACUUCAAAUUUGUACACCCAAGAUGGCCGCCCAUGGCACAUUCAAGAUGGCCGCCCCUUGGAACACCCAAAAUGGUCGCCCCUGUACACCAAAGAUGGCCCACCUUCGGGUGUCGGCUGAUUAGGAACACCUGAAAAGCAGUGUGAGUUGUGGCAGAGAACAAAGGAGCAAACAACUUCAAGCAGAAGCAGCUCCACAAAGAAUCAAGUUCUACUCAACUAUACAAGUUCCGUGACGCUAAUGGUCGGUAGACUCUUCACUUACCUUGUGUGUUUGAAAUGUGUUUGAGAUGCUGCUUGUUAAGUGCUACUGUUAAAAUGUAUUUGGGGAAAGAGUAUUGCAUUGCAGCAACAUUUGCUUUAAGUUUUAUAGUACUUAUUUGUUUUGUAGAAGUAUUUGAAAAGGCCCUAAUUUAUCUCACUUAUUUGCUUAAAAAGAAAGUAAGUUAAAAGUUUAAAAUUUACUUACCUUGGAAUUUACUUACCUUUUACAAUUUGAUAGUUUAGUUUAAUCUAAACUCAACUCAACUCUCAACUCAAACUUUAUUUAUAGAGCACUUUAAAAACAACCGAAGCUGACCAAAGUGCUGUACAGGUCGAUAAGACACAGUGAAAUACAUAAAACAGACAGUAAACAAUAUGAUAAAAAACACAGAAUACAAGAUUAAAAUACAGCAAAGUAAAAUUGAGGUACAAAUACACCAUUAAUUAAAAACAAAUAUAAAAUACGUAGGUAGAUAAAAAACAAAUAUAAAAUAUAAAAAAUACCAAUCAAGAGCUAGGUAAAAGCCAGGGAGAAAAAGUGUGUUUUUAAAGAGGAUUUAAAAACCUCUAUCGACUCGGCUGAACGGAUGUAGUGAGGCAGGCUGUUCCAGAGCCUUUGAGCAGCUGCCCCAAAGGUUCGGUCACCUCUACUCUUUAGGCGAGUCUUCAGGACGACCGAUAGCCGCUGAUUGGCAGAUCUCAGUGCUCUAGCGGAGGCAUGAAUGUGUAAGAGCUUGGACAAAUACCCGGGGGCCAGUCCAUUAAGAGCUUUAAAAACAAACAAUAAAAUCUUAAAAUUUAUUCUAAAAGAGACUGGGAGCCAGUGGAGAGAAGCAAGCACAGGGGUUAUAUGUUCUCUUUUACAUUUCCCAGUAAGGAGGUGGGCAGCUGCAUUUUGCACCAGCUGAAGUCGAUGGAGCAGAUUUUGAUCCAAGCCAACAUACAGGAAAUUGCAGUAAUCUAAUCUUGAAUUGAUAAAAGCAUGUAUAACUGUCUCUAAGUCUCUUCGAGAGAGGUAACCCUUUACCUUAGACAGAGUUCUCAGUUGAUAAAAGCUAUUUUUGACCACAGAGUUGACUUGCUUGUCGAGUUUAAAAUUACUGUCAAAGGUCACGCCGAGAUUCUUUACCGAUGCACGGACAUUCAGUGUGAGAGGGCCCAGAUAAUUGGCUGGGAGGUCAGAUGGGUUACAGCCAAAUAAUAUAGCCUCCGUUUUGGUUUCAUUCAAAUGUAGGAAGUUUUCUGCUAACCGUUAACUUCUAAAAAACAGUCCAGCAGCGUCUGUACAGAGUCAUUAUUUGAGGGGUUUAAGGCCAGGUAGAUCUGUACGUCGUCGGCAUAGCAGUGGAAAGAAAGUUUGUAUUUACGGAGAAUUGAGCCCAGCGGCAACAUGUACAAUAAAAAUAAAAUCGGUUGUAAAAUUGAACCUUGGGGUACUCCAGAGGUGAGUGGGGCUGCAGUUGAAGCGAAUUCCCCUAGCUGCACAGAAAAACUGCGUUCACUUAAAUAGGACCGGAACCACAGAAGAGCAGGGCCUGUUCUGCCUACCCACUGCUCUAGCCAAUCUAAAAGGAUAUUAUGAUCUACAGUGUCGAACGCAGCUGUUAAACCAAGGAGCACUAGGAGGGCAGGGUUACCUGAGUCAACAGUUAAAAUCAGAUCAUUAAAAACUCUCAGAAGUGCGGAGUCAGUGCUAUGGCGUGGUUUGAAACCGGACUGAAAGGGUUCAUAGAUGUCAUUUGUCAUAAGGAAUGAUUGUAACUAAGGCUGCACGAUAUUGGAAAAAACUAACAUUGCGAUUUUUUUCAACCCUGCGAUAUACAGUAUAUUGCGAUAUUAAAAAUAUAGGAAUUUUCACCAGAUGACCUGAAUAGCACUUAAUGUUAUGCUGCACUGCUGAAAUCUUGAGGACAGUUAACCUGCUCUGAUCUUACCUCUUUUUGUGAAUGUUAGUAGAAUAGCUCCUGUCUGUCUCAGAGAUAUUUUUAGCUUUUAUUGUUCUGGGACGUUAUUGUGGCAACAGAUGAACACAGAAGACGUGUUUUGGUUGACAUCAUCCUUCUUUUAACCGAAAUAAUUCCAGAUAACUGACUUUCCUUUUCUUUUUGGCAACAAAUCUUCAUUUUCUGUGGUUUUCUCCUGUUCGUUACUCAUUUUGCUAUUGUUGUUGUUAGUGGUGUUGUGCUGAGAAACGCAUGUCCUCCGAGAAUUGCAUGCACCUCGCAAAACGCGCACCACUUAUAGUAGAGUGGUCCACGGAAAUAUACAUUUUAAAACCCAUACAGUUCUUAUUUGUUGGGCUUAACAGUCAUGAGUAAAGUUCUGAAAGUAAUUCUCAGCGGACACGCGUUUCUCGGCUCAACACCAGCAGCCAGCGAGUAACUCCAUGCGCAGAACAUGUGCAGGGGUGGGUUUCCUCCUCUGA